GACGAACGCUGGCGGCGUGCUUAACACAUGCAAGUCGAACGGAAAGGCCCUGCUUUUGUGGGGUGCUCGAGUGGCGAACGGGUGAGUAACACGUGAGUAACCUGCCCUUUACUUUGGGAUAACUUCAGGAAACUGGGGCUAAUACCGGAUAGGAGCUCCUGCUGCAUGGUGGGGGUUGGGACGUUUCGGCGGUUGGGGAUGGACUCGCGGCUUAUCAGCUUGUUGGUGGGGUAGUGGCUUACCAAGGCUUUGACGGGUAGCCGGCCUGAGAGGGUGACCGGCCACAUUGGGACUGAGAGACGGACCAGACUCCUACGGGAGGCAGCAGUGGGGAAUAUUCCAGAAUGGGCGGAAGCCUGAUGCAGCAACGCUGCGUGCGUGAUGACGGCCUGCGGGUUGUAAACCGCUUUCGCCUGUGACGAAGCGUGAGUGACGGUAAUGGGUAAAGAAGCACCGGCUAACUACGUG
rnacentral:rRNA from 1 species